UACGAAGGGGGCUAGCGUUGCUCGGAAUCACUGGGCGUAAAGCGCACGUAGGCGGACUAUUAAGUCAGGGGUGAAAUCCCGGGGCUCAACCCCGGAACUGCCUUUGAUACUGGUAGUCUCGAGUCCGGAAGAGGUGAGUGGAAUUCCGAGUGUAGAGGUGAAAUUCGUAGAUAUUCGGAGGAACAUCAGUGGCGAAAGCGGCUUCCUGGACCAGUACCGACGUUCAGGCACGAAAGCGUGGGGAGCAAACAGG
rnacentral:rRNA from 1 species